CCUCAUCAGAAAGGAAUAAUGUAAGAACAGGCUGCAAGAGCAAAAAUGCAGCAUGGUGCAUUUUUGCUCUUGCAGCUAAUAAUAUACGAUUAUGUGGCGAGGUAUAAAAACAUGCACCCAAAGCUGAUAUAUGAUCGUUUUGUGAAGUGUCAGAACUCGUAGCCAGAUUCUGGCAAGAAAUCUUAGUUGAUUGGCGAUUCAAUCUUGGGGGUCGCUAUAACGAAGAAGUACCCAAAUUUCUUUAGUUUGGUAUAUGACUUUGAACUUCAAAGUGAGACACUAAGCAAAAAUAUUAUAAAGGGCGGAUGAAUUUUGCCUAGAAUCUUACAUUUAUUUUUUUGCAGUGUCAUUUUUCCAAUUUAAUGCACUUGCCUUGUUUAUUAAAAUGCUUGUCAUUGUAGAUACUACUUUCUUCUGUACCAUCAAUAUUUGUGUCUUAAAUCAAUGAUUAAAGUGAAGUAGUGACUUACUUUUGAUAUACUAAAUUGACUUCUAUGCUAAUUUUAAAUGCAAGACUAUUUUUAGCAUUUUAUAAUUUAUAGGAUGUUUAUUCUUUCCUGAGAACCAUAUAGUAUUUCAUGAUGAUACUAAUGAAUGAGAGAAUUUUUUUGGGAGGGGAGUUGAUAUUUCAUUUAAUUUCAAGCAUUAUAGAUUUCCCUAGCAUGUUUUUAAGUAAUAUAAUUGCUAAACUCUGAUUGGUAGUUAAUGGAAGUUUGAAUGCUUUAGGUAAUUGUUGAUGAAUAAAUAUAUUUCAAGGUUGAGUUUUAGAUUCGUAAGUGGGAUAUUUUAUAGUAUGUUCAGUUUCUUUCUUUUCUUUUUUUUUUUUUUUUUUUUUCUCAUUACAUGUUAUAGGCUUUGAAAAUUUAAUAUGAUGUUAUAUUAUUAUUUUUUUUUUAAAUCAAAACUUGUUUGAUAUAAAGCUUGUUUGCAUGCUGUGUAUUUUUCAUUAUGAUUUAUAUGUUACAUGUUUACUCUUUCUAGAAACUGUCUGCUCCAAUAUCAUCUACAGAAUCAUUGCAGGAAUCUAACUCAAAUUUAGGUCUUGAGUGGUGAAAGUGCUACUUGUUGAAGAGUAUGAUUAUUAUGGUAUCUAUCGUGACUUGUCGAUGAACUUUGUAAAUCAAAAUGGAGAGACUGUUUUUUUGUGUGAAUGUGUGACUACAGCCAAAGUUACCCCCUUCGAAUGGCAGGCACUUGCCUUAUCAGCAUUGGCGACUUCUAAGGCCAGAAGUGGCGACCAUUUUACUAUGGAGGCUCCUAUUAGGUGGCCACCAUUGCCUCCUAUGAGGGGACAGACAAUUUACAUCCAUGCCUUCUCCGGCAUUCGAACCCGGGCUCUUCAGUAUCGCAGUUGACUCCCAUACCCAGUAUACUGCUUGGGCGGCUACUACAGCCAAAGUAUGAAAGCUUUUAAAAUUAAGUUUUAAAAUCGACAUCAUCUGUAAAAGUCAGCCUAUAGUGUGAAUUUUUUUAUGCAGUGCAGUCCAUGAGUUUUGACUUUUCUGUCCUUAUUUUGUUUCAUGGAUUCAACAUCCAUAUAUAAUGACUUAAUGAGUUUUACAUAUUUCCAUCUAUUUAGUGCUAUUAAUACAGAUCAACGACAGUGUGGAAAAAAACCAUUGGACAUUGAUAAUAGUUUGGUUUUUGAUUGGGUUUUAUGCGCUAUCUGAAAUUUACUUUGUACUGGAAAAAACUAGGUUGUUUUCAUGGCUAUCCAUAGGUGAAGCAUAAAUACAAGCCAGUGUUCCUUUAAAAAAAUCCUCCAUAAUGACUUUUUUUUUUUUUUUUUUGAUAGGUAGAUAGUCUUUUACAUGCCUUGUCAUAGCUGCUAGGUUGUAACAUAUAUUUGUCCCAAUUUGUUUUUUUUAAAUUUCUAAAUUUUGUGUUACACAUAAUGGAUUCUGUAUGCAUUUUGAUCAGUUAUUUUCGUCCAGUUUUCUUAUUGCUGAAAUGUACCUUGUUUGUAGAAUUCAUGGCACUGACCCAAUUGAUUAAUGUAAUUAAUUUUUUGGUAAUUACUUCCUUCCCUCCCUUUUUUUUCCCCCCUAUUUUUUCGCCUUUCCCUAAAAUUUACUUCAAGUGUUUUUACAGAAAUUUAAAUCUGAUAAUUUUAAACCAUUAAAAGCAUUUUGCAGAGCUAUAUACAGAUAGUACUCUGAAAGCCGAAGAUCUGGGUUAUAUGAUGGGUGAACUAAAACAUCAGUAUAACAAUUUUUGCCAAGUCUUCAUACAAAUAUGUAGUUUGUCUAUGUCAUGGUGGAACUCCAGUACCUAUUCUGUUGGCAAUAACUGACCUCUUCCUCUCAGUGACUUUGUUCAUUUUUUCUGAUUAUAGGCAGUGUUUAAUGGAAUAAAAAUUUAGCUGGAGAGCAACUUGUAUUAUAUGACUUCUUUCUAUUGUCACUAGAGAGGGAGAGAAAAGAAUUUUCUUUGGCUGCAAAACAGCCCUUGAGAUCACCUGUGUUGGUCGUCUUGGGUUUGACCAUCUUUUUUUUUUUUUUUUUUUUUUUUUUUUUUUUUUUUUUUACUAACAUUGUAAAGUCUACUUUUCAUUUCCAGUGAUGAGUUGUUUGAGGAAAAACUAAUUUUCAUUGCAUUUAAGUAAUGAAACCUUGCACAGACAAAUAACACUAAAUUUUUGAUUAUUCAAUUAAUGUGCAAUGCUGGCCAUUAAAAUUGCAACACCAUGAAGGAAAGCAAAUGCGAAAAAGAUUGCAUGUAAACAGUGUGGUAUGAAGACAAAAUGAUUAAAUAUGUACGCACAUUGGAGUUUACAGGGUUGCAAACUUAGUAGAAACAGCUGCCAUACCGGGCAGCUAAAACGGCCUUUAAACCAUUAGGCAUGGAGCUGAGAAUACAGAAAUGGACAACUCAUUUCAUGCUGCUUCAUGUCUAUGCCACAUUUCAUCAAUUGUAUUAGCUGGAGAGAGGUGGCGGGCCAGUCUCUCAUUUAGCCAUGACCAGACGUUUUCAGUGGGUGACAGAUCUGGAGACUGUGCAGGCCAGGGUAGCAAUCAAAUACCCUGUGUAUCGAGGAAGCUCCGAACACGACAUGCAACAUGUAGUCUUGCAUUAUCUUUACUAUAUAUUGUUUAGGAAUAUAUGGAAUAUACUGUUUAGGGGUCUUGAAGAUAGGGCACAACCACUGGACGUAAAAAGUCAGAAAUGUACCCAUCUGCAUUGAAAUUAUCAUCCAUCCGAACUAGAGAUGUGCGUGUCGUGUACCAAAUGGCUGCCCAAGCCGUCACACCAGGUGCAGAACCUCUAUGUCGAUAUCAGAUGCAAGCAGAUGACAUGCAGGCUCCUGGGACCCUCCAGACACGUAUACGGUCAUCAAAAUACUGCACAUAGAACCGGCACUCAUUUGGAAAGGUGACAUUGUGCCACUCCUGUAGCCAGCUUUGUCAUUUCGUGCACCUGUCGCUGUCUGUCUCUAUGCUACUUUGUCAAAGGAAGCGAAGUAAUGGUCACCCUCCUGAUAGUCCACGCUGCUGCAAACGUCGACGCACCUUAUGAGCUGAUACUGGGCGUACUACAAACUUGCCCAUUUCCUGACUAAUGGUCCGUGAUGUGGUCAUACAG
rnacentral:lncRNA from 1 species